UGGGGAGGACCCCCGCCCGCCGCCGCGCCUGCGCCCCGCGACCCCCGGACAGGCCCCGGCUGGGGGCGCGCGCGCCGCCCGCGGUCGACCUGCCAGUCCCUCCGUCCCGCAGAGCUAUCUCACGCGGCCCCGGACACAGCCUGGCGGCCACGGCCGGCCCCGUCACGCGCGGCAGCCUCGCGCCGGCCCGGCCGUCAGUCGCACACGCACAGCCGGCUGCCCAGCCCACUGUCCCGCACAGGCCCGACCGCAGCAGUUCCCUCAAGCCCGCUUCCGGAGCGCCGCCCGCGCAGCGACCGGGAGGAGAGCCACUCCCUAGGCUCACCCCUGCAAUCUAGCUGCCCCUGUCACAGAACACCGCCCAAACUAAAGACACCUGCGGUCACAGCGGAGCCUCUCUGAUGGAUGUUGAGCCAUGCAGAUCCAGACAGAGCAGGACAACGUACUGCACGUCAGAGAAAAAAAAUUGAGGCAUGGAGAGAUUAAGAGGCAUACUCGUGGACACAUAGCUAAGAGGUGGCAGAGAUGGGAUUCAAACCCAUCCAGAGUCCGUGCUAUGUUGCCUUCCAUGUAUAUAUAUAUUAAUGAUCUACAUAAUCACCACUUAAACUGUAUUGCUUUAAAAAUGUUACAGA